GUAGGUAGGCAGGCAAACAGAUUGAUAGUACCUGUUGUGUGCCAGGUGAACUACUGGGUCUGGGAAUAUAAUAGUAUAUCUGGAUUUGAACACAGAUUUCAGUUGAAAUGGUAGCUUGACAAGUCAGUUGAAUUCAACUUUUAAGUUCCUCAUUGGAAAUAAGACAACUGAUCCAACUAAAUACACUGUGUUGGAGAGUAAAUGUAAAACAUUCUUGCCAUGGAGUUCUUGUUCCCGUGCUGGUCCUUCCUGUGGCUGGAAGUCUGACCUUCAUAAGGUUGACCAGUUGCUUAGUCCAGUUGAGAUCAACCUUUUCACUAGUUGGGGCAUCUCAAGUGAGGCAAGAUUAGCAAGAGCCUUGUAAACUAAAAGGGGCCAGUUUCAUCUGCAGGUUGAUGAAAAAAGGGCAGUGUCCUGGGACAUUUGGAAUGGAAUCUCUAGUCCUUUCUUCUGGGCACAUUUCCUGAGUAAUGAAAAAGGUGAUGUUUGAGACAUUGUCUUCAG
rnacentral:lncRNA from 1 species